UACCAGCACCCCGAGUGGUCGGGACGAUUAUUGGGCCUAAAGCAUCCGUAGCCGGUUCUACAAGUCUUCCGUUAAAUCCACCUGCUUAACAGAUGGGCUGCGGAGGAUACUAUGGAGCUAGGAGGCGGGAGAGGCAAGCGGUACUUAGUGGGUAGGGGUAAAAUCCGUUGAUCCAUUGGAGACCACCAGUGGCGAAGGCGGCUUGCCAGAACGCACUCGACGGUGAGGGA
rnacentral:rRNA from 1 species